AAGGGAUCGCGAGGGGCUGUGCUCAACUUCAAAACCGCGUCCCGAGUCCCGCUGCCGUACAGCAGCUUUCAGCGAACCGAGCGAGCGGCGCACAGGAAGAGAGAGAGAGAGACUAUAUAUAAUAUGAAGACUUUAUAUGUGUUUGAUUUUUGCAUCGCGUUUUUGUUGCGUGCCCAAAGUUAUGAUCACAAUAUUUAGUUCGCAACGUUAGUGCCUGUUGAAUUGGCGCAGCUUUGAUGUGUCUUGCUCGCUGAUCAUCGGUCAGAUUACAUAUUUGAGAUCAUAACCCUUCCCUGCCUUUGAUCUCUGCGCUGUUUUCCCCCCCCCCCAAUCUGGUGGUUAUUUUGGAAUGGGACAUACAGUACGCCGGACUGUGAAAUGUUGCUGAGACGGGUGCAGAGAAUACUACAAGGGCUCUCGCUGGUGUAGAAGAGCCUUUGAACUUUGUUUUAACAAACUUGGUGGUCAGCAUUCUAACAGCUGCUGUACAUCAUUACAAUGGCCCGGAUGCUACGACACAUCUCCUUAUUUAUAUUGACAGUUCAAAUCAUAUUCUUACUCCUGGUUCCCGUGGGAGUAUCGGAGGAGAGCAGAGGCUGCAGGGAGCAGGAGUACAGGGACCUGUUUGGAACCUGCAAAGCCUGCCAGCAGUGCGAUGCAGGACAGGAGCUAUCAAAGGUGGGACUUCCAGAUUGAUUGAUAGCGCAUU